CCUACGGGCGGCAGCAGUGGGGAAUAUUGCACAAUGGGGGAAACCCUGAUGCAGCAACGCCGCGUGAGUGAAGAAGUAUCUCUGUAUGUAAAGCUCCAUUAGCAUGGAAGUAGAAAGACGGUACCUUACUACUUAGCCUCGGCUAACUACGUGCCAGCAGCCGCGGUACUACGUAGGGGGCAAGCGUUAUCCGGAUGUACUGGGUUUAAAGGGAGCGUAGACGGCUGUGCAAGUCUGAAGUGAAAGCCCGUGGCUCAACCGCGGAACUGCUUUUGAAACUGUAUAGCUUGAGUACUGGAGAGGCAGGCGGAAUUCCUAGUGUAGCGGUGAAAUGCGUAGAUAUUAGGAAGAACACCGAUGGCGAAGGCAGCCUGCUGGACAGAAACUGACGUUGAGGCUCGAAAGCGUGGGGAGCAAACAGGAUUAGAUACCCUGGUAGUC
rnacentral:rRNA from 1 species